GAUGAACGCUGGCGGCGUGCCUAAUACAUGCAAGUCGAGCGAAUGGAUUAAGAGCUUGCUCUUAUGAAGUUAGCGGCGGACGGGUGAGUAACACGUGGGUAACCUGCCCAUAAGACUGGGAUAACUCCGGGAAACCGGGGCUAAUACCGGAUAAUAUUUUGAACUGCAUGGUUAAAAAUUGAAAGGCGGCUUCGGCUGUCACUUAUGGAUGGACCCGGGUCGCAUUAGCUAGUUGGUGAGGUAACGGCCAACCAAGGCAACAAUGCGUAGCCGACCUGAGAGGGUGAUCGGCCACCCUGGGACUGAGAAACGGCCCAGACUCCUACGGGAGGCAGCAGUAGGGAAUCUUCCGAAAUAGACGAAAGUCUGACGGAGCAACGCCGCGUGAGUGAUGAAGGCUUUCGGGUCGUAAAACUCUGUUGUUAGGGAAGAACAAGUGCUAGUUGAAUAAGCUGGCACCUUGACGGUACCUAACCAGAAAGCCACGGCUAACUACGUGCCAGCCGCCGCGGUAA
rnacentral:rRNA from 1 species